GAUGGACGCUGGCGGCGUGCUUAACACAUGCAAGUCGAACGAAGCACUUUAUUUGAUUUCCUUCGGGACUGAUUAUUUUGUGACUGAGUGGCGGACGGGUGAGUAACGCGUGGGUAACCUGCCUUGUACAGGGGGAUAACAGUUGGAAACGGCUGCUAAUACCGCAUAAGCGCACAGCAUCGCAUGAUGCAGUGUGAAAAACUCCGGUGGUAUAAGAUGGACCCGCGUUGGAUUAGCUAGUUGGUGAGGUAACGGCCCACCAAGGCGACGAUCCAUAGCCGACCUGAGAGGGUGACCGGCCACAUUGGGACUGAGACACGGCCCAAACUCCUACGGGAGGCAGCAGUGGGGAAUAUUGCACAAUGGGCGAAAGCCUGAUGCAGCGACGCCGCGUGAGCGAAGAAGUAUUUCGGUAUGUAAAGCUCUAUCAGCAGGGAAGAUA
rnacentral:rRNA from 1 species